UACGGAGGGGGCUAGCGUUGUUCGGAAUUACUGGGCGUAAAGGGCGCGUAGGUGGCCUGUGGAAGUCUGCGGUGAAAGCCCGGCGCUCAACGCCGGGUCUGCCGUGGAUACUCUCGGGCUCGAGCUUACUAGAGGCAGAUGGAAUUCCGGGUGUAGCGGUGGAAUGCGUAGAGAUCCGGAAGAACACCGGUGGCGAAGGCGGUCUGCUGGGGUAAUGCUGACACUGAUGCGCGACAGCGUGGGGAGCAAACAGG
rnacentral:rRNA from 1 species